ACUUAAAUAGUAUAAAAAUUAUUUCUAGCUUCCAACUAGAAGAUCUAAAAAAUAGUUUGAGUA
rnacentral:tRNA from 1 species